GAUGAACGCUGGCGGCGUGCCUAAUACAUGCAAGUCGAGCGAAUGGAUUAAGAGCUUGCUCUUAUGAAGUUAGCGGCGGACGGGUGAGUAACACGUGGGUAACCUGCCCAUAAGACUGGGAUAACUCCGCGAAACCGGGGCUAAUACCGGAUAACAUUUUGAACCGCAUGGUUCGAAAUUGAAAGGCGGCUUCGGCUGUCACUUAUGGAUGGACCCGCGUCGCAUUAGCUAGUUGGUGAGGUAACGGCUCACCAAGGCAACGAUGCGUAGCCGACAGGAGAGGGUGAUCGGCAAAACUGGGACUGAGCCACGGCCCAGACUCCGACGGGAGGCAGCAGUAGGGAAUCUUCCGCAAUGGACGAAAGUCUGACGGAGCAACGCCGCGUGAGUGAUGAAGGCUUUCGGGUCGUAAAACUCUGUUGUUAGGGAAGAACAAGUGCUAGUUGAAUAAGCUGGCACCUUGACGGUACCUAACCAGAAAGCCACGGCUAACUACGUGCCAGCAGCCGCCGUAA
rnacentral:rRNA from 1 species